UACGUAGGGGGCAAGCGUUAUCCGGAAUUACUGGGUGUAAAGGGAGCGUAGGCGGUCGGAUAAGUUAGAGGUGAAAUCCCGAGGCUCAACUUCGGAAUUGCCUCUGAUACUGUUCGGCUAGAGAGUAGUUGCGGUAGGCGGAAUGUAUGGUGUAGCGGUGAAAUGCUUAGAGAUCAUACAGAACACCGAUUGCGAAGGCAGCUUACCAAACUAUAUCUGACGUUGAGGCACGAAAGCGUGGGUAGCAAACAGG
rnacentral:rRNA from 1 species